UACGUAGGGGGCAAGCGUUGUCCGGAUUUAUUGGGCGUAAAGAGCGUGUAGGCGGCUUGGUAGGUCUCGCGUCAAAACCUGCGGCUCAACCGCAGUUCGCGUGGGAAACCACCUAGCUAGAGUCCGGAAGAGGAGAGUGGAAUUCCUGGUGUAGCGGUGAAAUGCGUAGAUAUCUGGAGGAACACCGGUGGCGAAGGCGGCAUCCUGGACCGGUAUUGACGCUGAGGCGCGAAAGCUAGGGGAGCAAACGGG
rnacentral:rRNA from 1 species